AAAAAAAAAGAGAAACAUAGGAGUGAUAAAAUAGUUUAGUAGUUUUGCUACUUGUUUUGUGUUUUCUAUGACUUUCUUUUUGCCUGGCAUUGUUUGAUCUUUG
rnacentral:ribozyme from 1 species